rnacentral:lncRNA from 1 species
AAAAUAAAGACCUGAACCUAGCAGUAUCAGUGGCAAUAAAUCAAUUACAGAGAUGUUAUGGAGAAAGAAUUGACAGGACUUAGUGACUAAUUGGAUGUUUUUGCCUUAUUGUCUUGUUGACAGAUCAGUAAUGGCCUCUUUUAUUAAUGCCUAUAUCAUCAGCAGUAAAUAUUUAUUCAGCAUCUAUUCUGUGUUAGAGAGCAACAUUCUACACUAAAGAAACCCUACACUCCACCCAUGAUUUCUAUCAGUAUAGUGCCACUGAAUCUUUCUAUCCAGUGGCCCGGAAGAACGGAAAUGUGUCCAGGACACCUCAGUUGCCUCUUUUCUUCUAAUUUGAGAAAAGGAAGAGUAUCAAGAAGGAAUAAGUGAAGGAACAGAAAGGAGCCUCCUCAACCUGAUGAAUGGAAUCUGUAAAGAACCUACAAAUAACAGCUUGCCUAGUGGUGAAAAACUGAAUGUUUUCCCCCUAACAUCAGAUAGAGGGCAAGUAUGUCUUCUCCUACCCCUACUAUCCCACAUAGUAAUGGAAUUCCUAGUCUGUGCAAUAAGACAUAAAGAAGAGAAAUAAAAAGCAUACAGAUUUAAAAGAAAGAAAUACAACUGUCCUUAUUUGCAUAUGACAUCAUUUUCCAUUUAGAAAAUCUCAAGGAACCUACUAGGAAAAAAACUUC